rnacentral:rRNA from 1 species
UGGGUGAUCUGCCCUGCACUUCGGGAUAAGCCUGGGAAACUGGGUCUAAUACCGGAUAGGACUACGAAUCGCAUGGUUUGUGGUGGAAAGCUUUUGCGGUGUGGGAUGGGCCCGCGGCCUAUCAGCUUGUUGGUGAGGUUACGGCUCACCAAGGCGACGACGGGUAGCCGGCCUGAGAGGGUGACCGGCCACACUGGGACUGAGAUACGGCCCAGACUCCUACGGGAGGCA